UACGUAGGGGGCAAGCGUUGUCCGGAAUCAUUGGGCGUAAAGAGCGUGUAGGCGGUCCGGUAAGUCGGCUGUGAAAGUCCAGGGCUCAACCCUGGGAUGCCGGUCGAUACUGCCGGACUAGAGUACGGAAGAGGCGAGUGGAAUUCCCGGUGUAGCGGUGAAAUGCGCAGAUAUCGGGAGGAACACCUAUGGCGAAGGCAGCUCGCUGGGACGUUACUGACGCUGAGACGCGAAAGCGUGGGGAGCAAACAGG
rnacentral:rRNA from 1 species